rnacentral:rRNA from 1 species
GACGAACGCUGGCGGCGUGCUUAACACAUGCAAGUCGAGCGGUAAGGCCUGCUUCGGUGGGUACACGAGCGGCGAACGGGUGAGUAACACGUGGGUGACCUGCCCUUAGCUCUGGGAUAAGCCUGGGAAACUGGGUCUAAUACCGGAUAUGACCAUAUGUCGCAUGGUGUGUGGUGGAAAGCCUGGUUGUUGUGACUGGGUGGCUGGGGGAUGGGGCCCGCGGCCUAUCAGCUUGUUGGUGGGGUGAUGGCCUACCAAGGCGACGACGGGUAGCCGGCCUGAGAGGGCGACCGGCCACACUGGGACUGAGACACGGCCCAGACUCCUACGGGAGGCAGCAGUGGGGAAUCUUGCGCAAUGGGCGAAAGCCUGACGCAGCGACGCCGCGUGGAGGACGAAGGUCUUCGGACUGUAAACUCCUUUCAUGGGGAGAACACUGACUUAACCCCAGGAAGAAGCACCGGCUAACUCCGUGCCAGCCGCCGCGGUAAC